AAAAGAGAAGAUCUAAUAGAUAGAAUGCUGGGAUUAAAGGCUGUGAUCCCAGGUCCUGAAAUCAUCUUUGUGCCAUUCCAGAUACCAGUAAAAUUCCUUUCCUGUCUAUCUCUGAGAGUUCGGACUUUACAAGAGGCAUUCAUUCUCCAGCCUCAUUGA
rnacentral:lncRNA from 1 species